CUACGGGGGGCUGCAGUGGGGAAUAUUGCACAAUGGGCGCAAGCCUGAUGCAGCCAUGCCGCGUGUAUGAAGAAGGCCUUCGGGUUGUAAAGUACUUUCAGCGGGGAGGAAGGGAGUAAAGUUAAUACCUUUGCUCAUUGACGUUACCCGCAGAAGAAGCACCGGUCAACUCCGUGCCAGCAGCCGCGGUAAUACGGAGGGUGCAAGCGUUAAUCGGAAUUACUGGGCGUAAAGCGCACGCAGGCGGUUUGUUAAGUCAGAUGUGAAAUCCCCGGGCUCAACCUGGGAACUGCAUCUGAUACUGGCAAGCUUGAGUCUCGUAGAGGGGGGUAGAAUUCCAGGUGUAGCGGUGAAAUGCGUAGAGAUCUGGAGGAAUACCGGUGGCGAAGGCGGCCCCCUGGACGAAGACUGACGCUCAGGUGCGAAAGCGUGGGGAGCAAACAGGAUUAGAUACCCUUGUAGUC
rnacentral:rRNA from 1 species